GGGAGCAGCCCAGAGCCUGAAUCAGUAUGUGUGUUAGUGGAAGCGUCUGGAAAGGCGCGCGAUACAGGGUGACAGCCCCGUACACAAAAAUGCACAUGCUGUGAGCUCGAUGAGUAGGGCGGGACACGUGGUAUCCUGUCUGAAUAUGGGGGGACCAUCCUCCAAGGCUAAAUACUCCUGACUGACCGAUAGUGAACCAGUACCGUGAGGGAAAGGCGAAAAGAACCCCGGCGAGGGGAGUGAAAAAGAACCUGAAACCGUGUACGUACAAGCAGUGGGAGCACGCUUAGGCGUGUGACUGCGUACCUUUUGUAUAAUGGGUCAGCGACUUAUAUUCUGUAGCAAGGUUAACCGAAUAGGGGAGCCGAAGGGAAACCGAGUCUUAACUGGGCGUUAAGUUGCAGGGUAUAGACCCGAAACCCGGUGAUCUAGCCAUGGGCAGGUUGAAGGUUGGGUAACACUAACUGGAGGACCGAACCGACUAAUGUUGAAAAAUUAGCGGAUGACUUGUGGCUGGGGGUGAAAGGCCAAUCAAACCGGGAGAUAGCUGGUUCUCCCCGAAAGCUAUUUAGGUAGCGCCUCGUGAAUUCAUCUCCGGGGGUAGAGCACUGUUUCGGCAAGGGGGUCAUCCCGACUUACCAACCCGAUGCAAACUGCGAAUACCGGAGAAUGUUAUCACGGGAGACACACGGCGGGUGCUAACGUCCGUCGUGAAGAGGGAAACAACCCAGACCGCCAGCUAAGGUCCCAAAGUCAUGGUUAAGUGGGAAACGAUGUGGGAAGGCCCAGACAGCCAGGAUGUUGGCUUAGAAGCAGCCAUCAUUUAAAGAAAGCGUAAUAGCUCACUGGUCGAGUCGGCCUGCGCGGAAGAUGUAACGGGGCUAAACCAUGCACCGAAGCUGCGGCAGCGACGCUGAUGCGUUGUUGGGUAGGGGAGCGUUCUGUAAGCCUGCGAAGGUGUGCUGUGAGGCAUGCUGGAGGUAUCAGAAGUGCGAAUGCUGACAUAAGUAACGAUAAAGCGGGUGAAAAGCCCGCUCGCCGGAAGACCAAGGGUUCCUGUCCAACGUUAAUCGGGGCAGGGUGAGUCGACCCCUAAGGCGAGGCCGAAAGGCGUAGUCGAUGGGAAACAGGUUAAUAUUCCUGUACUUGGUGUUACUGCGAAGGGGGGACGGAGAAGGCUAUGUUGGCCGGGCGACGGUUGUCCCGGUUUAAGCGUGUAGGCUGGUUUUCCAGGCAAAUCCGGAAAAUCAAGGCUGAGGCGUGAUGACGAGGCACUACGGUGCUGAAGCAACAAAUGCCCUGCUUCCAGGAAAAGCCUCUAAGCAUCAGGUAACAUCAAAUCGUACCCCAAACCGACACAGGUGGUCAGGUAGAGAAUACCAAGGCGCUUGAGAGAACUCGGGUGAAGGAACUAGGCAAAAUGGUGCCGUAACUUCGGGAGAAGGCACGCUGAUAUGUAGGUGAAGUCCCUCGCGGAUGGAGCUGAAAUCAGUCGAAGAUACCAGCUGGCUGCAACUGUUUAUUAAAAACACAGCACUGUGCAAACACGAAAGUGGACGUAUACGGUGUGACGCCUGCCCGGUGCCGGAAGGUUAAUUGAUGGGGUUAGCCGCAAGGCGAAGCUCUUGAUCGAAGCCCCGGUAAACGGCGGCCGUAACUAUAACGGUCCUAAGGUAGCGAAAUUCCUUGUCGGGUAAGUUCCGACCUGCACGAAUGGCGUAAUGAUGGCCAGGCUGUCUCCACCCGAGACUCAGUGAAAUUGAACUCGCUGUGAAGAUGCAGUGUACCCGCGGCAAGACGGAAAGACCCCGUGAACCUUUACUAUAGCUUGACACUGAACAUUGAGCCUUGAUGUGUAGGAUAGGUGGGAGGCUUAGAAGUGUGGACGCCAGUCUGCAUGGAGCCGACCUUGAAAUACCACCCUUUAAUGUUUGAUGUUCUAACGUUGACCCGUAAUCCGGGUUGCGGACAGUGUCUGGUGGGUAGUUUGACUGGGGCGGUCUCCUCCUAAAGAGUAACGGAGGAGCACGAAGGUUGGCUAAUCCUGGUCGGACAUCAGGAGGUUAGUGCAAUGGCAUAAGCCAGCUUGACUGCGAGCGUGACGGCGCGAGCAGGUGCGAAAGCAGGUCAUAGUGAUCCGGUGGUUCUGAAUGGAAGGGCCAUCGCUCAACGGAUAAAAGGUACUCCGGGGAUAACAGGCUGAUACCGCCCAAGAGUUCAUAUCGACGGCGGUGUUUGGCACCUCGAUGUCGGCUCAUCACAUCCUGGGGCUGAAGUAGGUCCCAAGGGUAUGGCUGUUCGCCAUUUAAAGUGGUACGCGAGCUGGGUUUAGAACGUCGUGAGACAGUUCGGUCCCUAUCUGCCGUGGGCGCUGGAGAACUGAGGGGGGCUGCUCCUAGUACGAGAGGACCGGAGUGGACGCAUCACUGGUGUUCGGGUUGUCAUGCCAAUGGCACUGCCCGGUAGCUAAAUGCGGAAGAGAUAAGUGCUGAAAGCAUCUAAGCACGAAACUUGCCCCGAGAUGAGUUCUCCCUGACUCCUUGAGAGUCCUGAAGGAACGUUGAAGACGACGACGUUGAUAGGCCGGGUGUGUAAGCGCAGCGAUGCGUUGAGCUAACCGGUACUAAUGAACCGUGAGGCUUAACCU
rnacentral:rRNA from 1 species